rnacentral:rRNA from 1 species
AUUAGCCUUCAGCCGGCGAUGUCCGAAUGGGGAAACCCAGUGCAAUUCGUUGCACUAUCGUUAACUGAAUACAUAGGUUAACGAGGCGAACCGGGGGAACUGAAACAUCUAAGUACCCCGAGGAAAAGAAAUCAACCGAGAUUCCCCCAGUAGCGGCGAGCGAACGGGGAGCAGCCCAGAGUCUGAAUCAGCUUGUGUGUUAGUGGAACGGUCUGGAAAGUCCGACGGUACAGGGUGAUAGUCCCGUACACCAAAAUGCACAGGCUGUGAACUCGAAGAGUAGGGCGGGACACGUGGUAUCCUGUCUGAAUAUGGGGGGACCAUCCUCCAAGGCUAAAUACUCCUGACUGACCGAUAGUGAACCAGUACCGUGAGGGAAAGGCGAAAAGAACCCCGGCGAGGGGAGUGAAAAAGAACCUGAAACCGUGUACGUACAAGCAGUGGGAGCACCUUCGGGUGUGACUGCGUACCUUUUGUAUAAUGGGUCAGCGACUUAUAUUCUGUAGCAAGGUUAACCGUAUAGGGGAGCCGCAGGGAAACCGAGUCUUAACUGGGCGUUAAGUUGCAGGGUAUAGACCCGAAACCCGGUGAUCUAGCCAUGGGCAGGUUGAAGGUUGGGUAACACUAACUGGAGGACCGAACCGACUAAUGUUGAAAAAUUAGCGGAUGACUUGUGGCUGGGGGUGAAAGGCCAAUCAAACCGGGAGAUAGCUGGUUCUCCCCGAAAGCUAUUUAGGUAGCGCCUCGUGAAUUCAUCUUCGGGGGUAGAGCACUGUUUCGGCUAGGGGGUCAUCCCGACUUACCAACCCGAUGCAAACUACGAAUACCGAAGAAUGUUAUCACGGGAGACACACGGCGGGUGCUAACGUCCGUCGUGAAGAGGGAAACAACCCAGACCGCCAGCUAAGGUCCCAAAGUCAUGGUUAAGUGGGAAACGAUGUGGGAAGGCACAGACAGCCAGGAUGUUGGCUUAGAAGCAGCCAUCAUUUAAAGAAAGCGUAAUAGCUCACUGGUCGAGUCGGCCUGCGCGGAAGAUGUAACGGGGCUAAACCAUGCACCGAAGCUGCGGCAGCGACACUAUGUGUUGUUGGGUAGGGGAGCGUUCUGUAAGCCUGCGAAGGUGACCUGUGAGGGUUGCUGGAGGUAUCAGAAGUGCGAAUGCUGACAUAAGUAACGAUAAAGCGGGUGAAAAGCCCGCUCGCCGGAAGACCAAGGGUUCCUGUCCAACGUUAAUCGGGGCAGGGUGAGUCGACCCCUAAGGCGAGGCCGAAAGGCGUAGUCGAUGGGAAACAGGUUAAUAUUCCUGUACUUGGUGUUACUGCGAAGGGGGGACGGAGAAGGCUAUGUUAGCCGGGCGACGGUUGUCCCGGUUUAAGCAUGUAGGCUGGUUGUCCAGGCAUCCGGGUAACAUCAAAUCGUACCCCAAACCGACACAGGUGGUCAGGUAGAGAAUACCAAGGCGCUUGAGAGAACUCGGGUGAAGGAACUAGGCAAAAUGGUGCCGUAACUUCGGGAGAAGGCACGCUGGUGUGUAGGUGAAGUCCCUGCGGAUGGAGCUGAGACCAGUCGAAGAUACCAGCUGGCUGCAACUGUUUAUUAAAAACACAGCACUGUGCAAACACGAAAGUGGACGUAUACGGUGUGACGCCUGCCCGGUGCCGGAAGGUUAAUUGAUGGGGUUAUCCGUAAGGAGAAGCUCUUGAUCGAAGCCCCGGUAAACGGCGGCCGUAACUAUAACGGUCCUAAGGUAGCGAAAUUCCUUGUCGGGUAAGUUCCGACCUGCACGAAUGGCGUAAUGAUGGCCAGGCUGUCUCCACCCGAGACUCAGUGAAAUUGAACUCGCUGUGAAGAUGCAGUGUACCCGCGGCAAGACGGAAAGACCCCGUGAACCUUUACUAUAGCUUGACACUGAACAUUGAGCCUUGAUGUGUAGGAUAGGUGGGAGGCUUUGAAGCGUGGACGCCAGUCUGCGUGGAGCCAACCUUGAAAUACCACCCUUUAAUGUUUGAUGUUCUAACGUUGGCCCCUUACCGGGGUUGCGGACAGUGUCUGGUGGGUAGUUUGACUGGGGCGGUCUCCUCCCAAAGCGUAACGGAGGAGCACGAAGGUUAGCUAAUCCUGGUCGGACAUCAGGAGGUUAGUGCAAUGGCAUAAGCUAGCUUGACUGCGAGCGUGACGGCGCGAGCAGGUGCGAAAGCAGGUCAUAGUGAUCCGGUGGUUCUGAAUGGAAGGGCCAUCGCUCAACGGAUAAAAGGUACUCCGGGGAUAACAGGCUGAUACCGCCCAAGAGUUCAUAUCGACGGCGGUGUUUGGCACCUCGAUGUCGGCUCAUCACAUCCUGGGGCUGAAGUAGGUCCCAAGGGUAUGGCUGUUCGCCAUUUAAAGUGGUACGCGAGCUGGGUUUAGAACGUCGUGAGACAGUUCGGUCCCUAUCUGCCGUGGGCGCUGGAGAAUUGAGGGGGGCUGCUCCUAGUACGAGAGGACCGGAGUGGACGCAUCACUGGUGUUCGGGUUGUCAUGCCAAUGGCACUGCCCGGUAGCUAAAUGCGGAAGAGAUAAGUGCUGAAAGCAUCUAAGCACGAAACUUGCCCCGAGAUGAGUUCUCCCUGAGACUUUAAGUCUCCUGAAGGAACGUUAUGACGUUGAUAGGCCGGGUGUGUAAGCGCAGCGAUGCGUUGAGCUAACCGGUACUAAUGAACCGUGAGGCUUAACCUUACAACGCCGAAG